rnacentral:rRNA from 1 species
UGGAAUUUUUUUUAUAGUCUAGCCUGCUCACUGAUAAAAUUAUUAAAUAGCCGCGGUAUCUUGACCGUGCAAAGGUAGCAUAAUCAUUAGUUUUUUAAUUGGAAACUAGCAUGAAUGGUUGGACAAAGAAAAAGCUGUCUCUUUCAUUAAAAUUGAAUUUAACUUCUAAGUGAAAAGGCUUAGAUAUCUUAGAGGGACGAUAAGACCCUAUAAAGCUUUAUAAAUUCAAAGAUUUUAUAUAUUUUUUUUAAUAAUGAUAAUUUUUCAAAAAUUUAUUGGGUUGGGGCAACAGAAGUAUAAUUAUCAAUAACUGCUAUAAAGUAUUACAAUUAUUUUUGUUAUUAGAGAGUUGUUGAUCCUCGAAAGGGAUUAAAAGAUCAAGUUACUUUAGGGAUAACAGCGUAAUUUAUCUUGAGAGUUCUUAUCAAAGGAUAAGUUUGCGACCUCGAUGUUGAAUUAAAAUGUCUUUAUAGUGCAGCAGCUAUACAAGAAGGUCUGUUCGACCUUUAAUUUUUUACAUGAUCUGGU